GUAUUUCCCUGAUAAACAAAGGGGAUGGAUAAGGUGCUCCUUCCUAGAAGAGAGGGUUGCUUUGCAAGUCCUCAGACUUUCUGCCAAGCUCUGCUCAGGAGGCAGGUCAGCAGAAGGGUCAUCAGAAAUAGGACCAUUGACUUAUCCCCUGACUUCUGUUCCUUUUUGGAAUAUACUACUUUGGAGCUGCACAGCUUUGACUUUAUUCUUAUAUUCACUUUUAGGAAAUACUGCCACAGAGAUCCCAUGGUGUCUGAAGUGUAUAUUUUUCCCAUGAAAGUAGAGCUGCUAUACCAUAUGUAUAUUCGUGUUCUCUUCUUACACAGUUGAAAUUCAGAUUCUCACAUAAUCACAGGCCUCUUCUGUUUGAUUCAAUAGCAUACACCCUGGAGUGUCUAUUAAAUACAUCAGUAGCAAGCACACUUGUCUUACUCUGCUUUCUUACUAUGAAAGCAAAAUUACUAAAUUUCUAAACAAAAAUUAUUCUUUUGUAAAAAUUUUCAGGGCAGGGAGGCCAGUGCCUGUAAUAUAAGUGACAUGGAAGGAUGAGACAGGAUGAAUGCAACAUCAAGGUUAGCCCAGGGAACAUAGCAAGAGCCCUUGUCAAAAAAACAAAAACAAAACCUACCAAAAGGGAUAGGAGUGUAGGGGGGCAAGGUGGCACCCACCUGUAAUCAGACACAGGGGAGCUGAGGCAAGAGAAUGGCAAGUUCAAGGCCAGCUUGGGCAACUAAGGAAAACUUGCCUUGAAAUUAAAAAAUAUAUGCAUAAUAAACACAUAUAAGGAAGGGGAUGUAGCUAAUUAGUAGAGUACUCCUGGGUUCAUUUUUACUGAGAGAGACAGAAGAAAGGAAUGAAAGAAAAUGGGUACAGCUCAGUGGAAUAAAACUUAGCAUGCAAAUAUGAGGCCCUAGGUUCAAUCACCAGUAUUGCAAAAAUAGACUAAUUAAUUAAUGAAAGUUAGAACAACCUACACAGCACCUAAAAAGGCUCACAUCUUCUCUCCCAAACAUCAUACUUCAAUAUCAAUUUUUAAAUGGCUUUUGUUUCCCAGAUAGUAAAUACUUUCUGUAUUUCUGUGUCUUGAUGGGAGGGCAAGGAAUUAAAAGCAAAAUAUGCUAAAAAGCCGCUUCCAAACUUUUCCAACAUCCUUGCGUGUUGUUGCAGGCAACACAACCGAGAGCCAUGAAAGGGAAUCUCUGCACCACCUAUCUUCUGGACAGAUCUUUGGGGAGCCAGAGAAGAGCUUCCCUCAAGCGCUGGGCAAGGUGCAAUUCCUCCACUCUAAAGGGAGGUGACUGCUUGCUCUGCCACCCAGACCCGCUUCUGCUCAGCUACCAGCUCCAGCCCCUCCUCUGGGCUGCAGCCAGCACCUCUGCUGCCAGUGGCUCUUCACCCUGAGGAUGGAUGGGCUGCUGCCCUUGUGUUUCUUCCUCCUCAAACUUGGGCUGAGGAGCUUUUUUCUUUGUCUUUACAUUCCACACAUGGGAAACAUUUGUAUGCACUAAAAAAAAAAAAAUCUCUUGCUCAGACUCACAAGUAGGUGGGAGUUUCCAUGGUAAAUUUUAGGGUGGAAGUAUAAAGCGAGUUGAUAUGGAAAUGGUUUCAUAUGCAAAUAGGUAACCACAGCCUGCCUUCCUCUUUUCCACCUGGAAACUUUGCCUUCUGAAUGUUGUAGAUUUUUUUCCCUUUUCCAGGUGCUGGUGUGCAAGGCUAGGACUGGGUGUAGCUAUAGGGAGAAAGAGUCACCAAAGCCAUCACCUGGGUGAAAAGCUGCCUGUAGUGCAAAGCCUGCAUCUUUGCCUGUGGAGGACUGAGGGGAAGGGAAAUUGUUUAUAUUCUCUUGCCCUUGCCUUUUCUUGCAAAUCAGCAGGGUCAAGAGCAGGGUGUGAACCUAAGGAAAAGGGCAGGCCCUAGAUAGGGAGAGCCUUACCCAUUGUUAUUCUUAUGCACUUUGUUUCUGAAAAUUCUUUCUCUUGAUGAGUGGUACCACUGGUGGGGAAAGGCUGGAAAUGCCAUUAAGUAAUGAGAUUUAUGCUUUUCCAACAUCUUAUUUUCUGAAUUAAAGUAUUAGGCUGUAAGUUAUUGAAGGUAACUUUUCAGCUCAGCUUCUUAAAUUUGGCAUAAAUUUUAAGAUUUUGCUAUAAGAGAGGAAUCCUAUUUUAAUGUUAUAAAUUGAGAGAACUGGAAAUAUUUUGAUACAAGAAUACUGUAACACUGAGGUACAUCUUUCACACUUUUUCUUUGCCAUUUUAAGAAGGAUUCAGGAAAAUUGCCAAGGGUGGCCUGGAACUCAUAUUCCUCCGAGAAGUUUUAGGUUCCCAAGUAGUUUGGCAUUCCAAAGCACAGGAUUUUUUCUGUUUUUCCAGAUGAUUGAACCCAAGAUACUCUACCACUGAACAACCUUCACAGCCCAUUUGAUGUUUAAUUUGAAGACUGGGUCUCACAAAUUGCAGAGAAUAGCCUUCAAUUUGCAAACUUGCCCUCCAAGACACCUCAGAGCAUGGCAUUCCAGGUGUGCACUGCCAUUCCUGGAUUCUGGAUCAUAGCACAUGGAAAGGUUGUGAACUCUGGGGUUUGACACUUUGCUACUACUGGAACCCACCUGACACUGUAAGGGUAAAAGAAAUUGAAGUUAAAGCGUAAAAGUUAAAGGGUAAAAGACCGGGUGUUGUAAAAGUUUCUAAGCUGCAAGGUCUGAGUUAAAAUGUAAAGGAGGUAUUGUUAGGUUUCUAUGCUACCUGCAAAACCUGAAAUUUCUGUAGCUGUUAAGACAAUGCUUAGAACCACCCAGUAAACAUUUCCCCUGAUUGUCUGGUUGUUUAGUAACUGAAGGGGUCUGUGUGGUUGCACGUAGGCAUUGCAGUGCCUGAACCAAUCAGUUUGAAUGUAUACUCUCCUUAGGAAUGACCUAUCACUCCAGCCUGACCUGUUCCCGCCAAUGAAUGAACUAAUCAUGUUUAGGAGUUGUUGUUCAAUUUUCCCGCGCCUCAUGAUGAUUUGUUCUGAUGUAUACAAAGCCCUCCGCCCUCCCCAAAAAGUGUACUUAAGCAGUGCUCAGCCCCUGCUCGGGGCUCUGGGCUGCUUUCCCUUCUUGAGUGGGCACGGAGCCCCAGCAUGCUGGUUCAAUAAAUCCCCUUCUGCCAAUUGCAUGAGUG
rnacentral:lncRNA from 1 species